UGGCGGACGGGUGAGUAACGCGUGGGUAACCUGCCUCAUAUAGGGGGAUAACAGUUGGAAACGACUGCUAAUACCGCAUAAGCGCACAGGGUCGCAUGACCUGGUGUGAAAAACUCCGGUGGUAUGAGAUGGACCCGCGUCUGAUUAGCCAGUUGGUGGGGUAACGGCCUACCAAAGCGACGAUCAGUAGCCGACCUGAGAGGGUGACCGGCCACAUUGGGACUGAGACACGGCCCAGACUCCUACGGGAGGCAGCAUG
rnacentral:rRNA from 1 species